AUAAUUUGCUAGGGGUGCCAAAAUGGCUGAGAGAUAAUUUAUCAACCCUUGUACCUGAUCUGGAUAAUACCAGCGUAGGAAAGCUACUUGAAUUUAUA
rnacentral:ncRNA from 2 species